rnacentral:rRNA from 1 species
UACGAAGGGGGGCUAGCGUUGUUCGGAAUUACUGGGCGUAAAGCGCACGUAGGCGGAUACUUAAGUUAGGGGUGAAAUCCCAGGGCUCAACCCUGGAACUGCCUUUAAUACUGGGUAUCUCGAGUCCGAGAGAGGUGAGUGGAAUUCCGAGUGUAGAGGUGAAAUUCGUAGAUAUUCGGAGGAACACCAGUGGCGAAGGCGGCUCACUGGCUCGGUACUGACGCUGAGGUGCGAAAGCGUGGGGAGCAAACAGG